CCAGACUAGUUUCUGGAGUUCUGCCCACAUGCCAGAAAAAAUUUUAUUAUUUUAUCUGAAUUCUGUGUCUCUGUGUAUUUCUUUCUGACAUUUCUGUAACAUUUGGUUCCCUGACUGGGAAUCGGGAAUGAAAUAGCCCUUUUGGGCAUCCUGUACCCCAUAGGAGGGAGUGGCUCUCUGUCUCCUGGAGAGGAAAGUCAUGCCCCUGGGACUAAUUUCUGAGGCACAGAGAUCUGGUCACCUGCAGAGGUUUGCCUGAACCUGACGAGACUACAGAAGGAGGACUGCUGCUCUUGGUGUCUCGUCUGUCUCUUUCCUUUGUUGGAUGGGAGCAGCUUCAUGGAAGAUGGGGUUCAUCAUGCUGGAUAUGUGGUAACCAUGAAGGAUGAAGUGGUCCUAGCCAGGGCCAUCAGUGCAAUGUGCUAAGCUCUGGGCACUCAAACAAGCACUCUGAUGGGCAAAGGGUAAAAAGGCCUCUCUGCCACACCACUCUUCCUUGGAGCCAGCUGACUAUGGACUGAAACCUCUACAGACUGUAAGCUAAAUAAACCCUUUCCCCUUUUACUUUGGGUGUCAGGUAUUUUGUCUCAGCAAUGAGAGAAAAGUAACUAACAGAGAAAUUUGGUACCAGAGAAGUGGAGUCUUUGCUGUGAUGUUACCUGGUCAUGUGGCUCAAAAGCUUUGGAACUGGCUUGUGAGAACAGGAAGAGUUAGGAAAGACUCGGAGAUGUCAGCUGUAGAAGCACCACUGGAACACCUCAGACUGUCCUGCAUGGGAGAUUCUGAUCAGAGCUCCAAGACCAGAAAGCUGGUGAAGACCAGGCUCAGGAG
rnacentral:lncRNA from 1 species